AUUGAACGCUGGCGGCAUGCUUUACACAUGCAAGUCGGACGAGUGGCGAACGGGUGAGUAAAGCAUCGGAACGUACCGAGUAAUGGGGGAUAACUGUCCGAAAGGACAGCUAAUACCGCCUAUUAUUCACACGGCCGAUGUUGGAUUAGCUGGUUGGCGGGGUAAAGGCCCACCAAGGCGACGAUCAGUAGCGGGUCUGAGAGGAUGAUCCGCCACACUGGGACUGAGACACGGCCCAGACUCCUACGGGAGGCAGCAGUGGGGAAUUUUGGACAAUGGGCGCAAGCCUGAUCCAGCCAUGCCGCGUGUCUGAAGAAGGCCUUCGGGUUGUAAAGCACUUUCAGCGGGGAGGCGUUACCCGCAGAAGAAGCACCGGCUAACUCCGUGCCAGCAGCCGCGGUAAUUC
rnacentral:rRNA from 1 species